rnacentral:rRNA from 1 species
UACGGAGGGUGCAAGCGUUAAUCGGAAUUACUGGGCGUAAAGCGAGUGUAGGCGGCUACGUAAGUCGGUUGUGAAAGCCCCGGGCUUAACCUGGGAAUUGCGAUCGAUACUGCGUAGCUAGAGUCUGAUAGAGGGAAGUGGAAUUCCAGGUGUAGCGGUGAAAUGCGUAGAUAUCUGGAGGAACAUCAGUGGCGAAGGCGGCUUCCUGGAUCAAGACUGACGCUCAGGCUCGAAAGCGUGGGUAGCAAAC